rnacentral:lncRNA from 1 species
GAAAAGGCUCAGAAACACCACCUCACAGCCACAGAAGCCCUGGGCUACCUGAUAUAAGCUGCAAAGGCUAAGACUUUAGCCACUACCUUAACAUAUCCAUGCAUGACACAAGAGAAGCAAUACCACCUACCUUGCAGAAAUAAGGGAGAGCCUGCAAGCACCAAACAACUGUGAAAUAAUAAGGACUACACCCUCUACCUCCCAUGUGCUCCUCCUAGCUACCCACAAGAGAAAGUAACUGGCUUAAAAGAGCUGAGGAUUAACCUAACACACCUGGGUACCACCUGCUGCUUUACUGGCUCCAGCUCACAGAUCUGUGACAAGCUGGGCGCUUGACAGCAACAUCCCUUUGAAAUACCAGAUUUGCUAAGGGUUUGGAAAAGCCUUGCUCUAGCACAAGCUCCCCCCACUCCUUCCUCCUUCCCUCCCCACCCUACCCUGCUGAACCGCAGCACCAGAGUGGCAGAACCUGAUGCUGGAGGAGAGUGAAGGAGGCAGCCACUGCCAGCCAUCAUCCAGCUCCCUCCUCCCUGAUGCCAUCCCUGAGCAGCACAGCCCCUGCCUCUGUGAAGGCUCAGGCCUGGGGGAGCAUGGCAGGAUGGGCAAAAUGAGAUGAUGGUAGGGUAAAAACAGUUUGGUUUUCUUUCUUCCCUCUUCAAAGCAUGGCUAGCUUGUUGCCUUCUCCCUGGGUGAGCUGCAUGGGCUGUAAGGCUGAAGAGAAGAUGGAGGCUUGGAUGAGAGCCUCCUAGGGGACAACUUCACCUGCAACUCUCCUCCAACCAAUAUCACUCCAUCAGGUCUCUUUUAGCCUGUUUCCACUAUAAUGGGGACAAAAAAAGGGUGCGUGUCACCAUUCCCACCCACCGCUUCGGGCAGGGAGAGGGGAAGCAUGGCUGGAGCCCUCACUUCUGUUUACUGCUCUUUGUUAGCAGCAAAGCUUUCCUCUUGCCAUGCUUCCUGAUAGCGUUGGGGCCAAGCAGCGAGACUGCAGCCUGAACCCCCUCCAUCUGCAGCCUAAAAUGGCGGUCGGGACAGGCCUCAGCCCCGUGAUGGCGGACAGCCCUCCGCCAUCCCCACACAAGCUCUCCCCACCCCAGCACCUUUCCCUGAGGGAAAUAUACUGGAUCUGCACCAUGUGCUGCAAAUUUCCUCCUCCCAUUGAGGAAGAAAUGCUGGAAAGUUAUAAAGGCCCAAACUCUAAAGGCAGUUUUGGCACCGAUGUUGGAGAUCUCCUUGAUAGAGCA